GCCGGGGGGAGCCGCGAGGCCGGGAGCGGGGUAGGCUGCGCCCGUACUUAAGCGCUCUGCCCGAGCCGCUGACGUCUUUCGAAUUGGAGACGGGGCUGUCCCCCCUCCCGCCUCGGGCUCCCGCGGACGCGGCCGGGGACGGAGCCAGGGUGCAAGUGUCUAGAAUGCCCAAGUAUGCACAGCAGCUUAGAGAUCAUGACAGAAAUCCUUGCAUAGCGCAUGACAUUAUGAUGCAAAGGAAAAGAAGCGGUGUGAAACCGGAGAUGCCCUCAGCAGAGGAGAGAAAGAAAAUCUUGGAAUCUGUGGAGAAGCCGUACUGACUACAAACUGGCUUUGUUUUACUGUUGUCACUGUACAUACGAAGACUUGUCAGCAUCUGGUUGCCCUUUUGUAAACUGGACUUCAACGUUGCCAUAUCUUGGAUUAAAGUAAGCUGUUACGUUUUGAAGCGUGUGAGCUUUCUACUAUAGGACUGGGUUCUAUUUGUAUUCUUCCUCAUUGGUACUUAGUGUCUCAAUAAAAGACAUGGGUACCAACACAGCUUGUCCAGAGACCUUGGAAGUAGAAGCUAACGUGCUGUGAAAUACUAACGACUCCUAAGAUUUGCAAUUCUAAGUUCUAACUCUUCUGAUAGUUGUAAGUUUUAAGGGCUGAGUAAAUUUAGACUAGUAAAGGACUAGUAUGCGGAGAAUCUCUUGUAUAUAGCUACUCUGACUAGUAUUCUAAGCUUAUCAUGGGUAGUCCUGUCACUGUUUUCACGAGUUGUUUGCGGUGUCCCUUCUUUAAAUAACACUAUCCAUGAACUAAAAUCCCAAAUCCAACAAGCUGUCAUUAAGCUUACAGCACUUCAUCGGUGUAUAGCAGAAGGUUGCUAUAAAUCAGAAGUGCAGGCUUUGCUUGGUACAAGGUUAGAGAGGUUGGUGAAGAGGGAAAUGAACUUGUCUCAGCUGAAUAGUACCUUUGGUGGAUAGUAAAUAGAUACUUGGCUGCUGGAGGAGGUUGGGGACUUUGUAGGCAUGUAAACAUGCACUUGGAGUGACAUAGCAGGUUUAACUAUAGUACAACUAUCUAAGACUCUGGACAGCUGAAGCCCUGGGUUUGGAAAUGCUUACUCAUAUGACACUACAAAGCUCAGUUUGAAUAGGUACUCCAGUCUUGAGACUGAUUCCUUAUCUAAACUGGGCAGCUAUUAAGUGUAAUCAGAUUGCUGUCUAGAAAUGCUUGUUUUCUUUACCUUCGGUGUUUUCUGGUGUUCUGGCUUAAAGAAAUCACACCCUUUGGUAAAAUGGAAAAAUGACUAUCAUGAGCUCAAGUUCCAUGUGAAAACCUUUUGAGACAUACUGCGAUUAAGUUGGCAGAACUCUGGCUGACCUCUUGGAAGAUGGUGUAAAAGUGUUGUCUCUCUAUUUAGACUGUUUUGGAAAGACUUCAUAGCUUCCUGUUUUUCUCUCUGUCUGGCUUGUCUCAUUGCUUUCCACUCAAGGCCUAUUUCUAUGUUAGCAGCAGUUUUAUGCUAUUUUUCACCUUCCCCCUCACCAUCUGACCAACUAGUAACUAAUGGGAUCUACUUUGACUCCUGUCUUUCUGGCUGCUCUCCUUUUAUACCUGAGUUUUGAAGCGAGUUGAUCGUGCCCUUUUUGUUACUGGAAAGAGUGUAACUCUAUGCCUCUUGAGCGCGCAGUUCUCUGAGAAUAGCUGUCUGGCCUCCAAACCAUGUCAUAAGUUCUCUUGUGUGUUCCUGGCAAGCGAAGUAGACCUUCUUCAGGGAAGAUCAUGAGAUUCUUUAUUUUGGAUUAUUUUGACUUUACUUAAAAUUCAGCCUUUGCAGUCAGUGAUUGUGUUUUUGUUUGGUGCGGAGGAGAAGCUUCCAUACUAGAUUCAAGGGCUCUACCUUGCCCACCGCUUCUAAAUUGUUUCAAUACCGUCCCAUUUAGCAGUUUUUUCCAGUUUGGCACAAAUUCUUCUGUUUAGUAGUUUGAACGUUUUUAGUCUGUUCCAAUUCCAACAUUUUUCUAGUAACUUUGUUCUUUCUCUGCCCCAAUGAUCUAGUUCUGCAAUGACUUUCUAAUACAGCUCUUCCUGAAGAUCCCGUGUUCUCUGUCUGAGUGGAGAAUUUUUUGCUUUCAUUAGUUGGGCUUAAUGGUGCUACUUCUUCAUUGGCCAUGUCUCUAUUUAAUCCUCCUGCUCUCUGAGUUUUGGGUAGCUGGUUCUUUGAUUAUGUCUGGACUUUUCUGGUCUUGCUGCUUUGCUUGUGUGAGCUUACCUUCUCUCCCACUUGGCACAGGUUUGUCAUUUGGCAACUUUGCUACAUCUUUAGGCAUGGUGUCUUUGCUUUUAUGGCUUUACUUACUAUUCUAGUGCUUGCUGUUUGUGCUACACUCCAGUACUGGACUUGCACUUAAAUCUGUUUUCUUUCAUGAGUUCAAGUUUCUUAAAGCUGCUUACUUAUCCUGAGCUUUUCUUUCAGAUGUGGGUGUAAGAAUGGCCAUAUUCCUAGUGUUUUUUUUUUACAUUUCCACUCUUUUCCUGCUAAUGUUUCCUGGGGAAGUUUCUGCUCCUCUCCUCUGAAAGGAUGGUUGGCGUGUGGCAGUUCAGGGUAUGUGCUAUCCUGUGUCUAGAGAACUAGGACUUGAAUUCAGGAUGUUAGAGGAAGAGCUGUAUUCCCUGCUGAAACUAUUUCACAAUGCAAAAAUAUGGGAUUGCAGGGCAAAUUUAAGGCAUUGGUGGACAUACAAGGUAAGUUCCUUUCAGGUUUUAUGGCAAGCCUGAUCUUUUUUGAUGAAGAAGUGACGUUGGUGUAAGCAGUGACUUUAAGCGUUUCAUUCAAAUAACAUUCAUCUGUUGUGGGGGAUGUUGCUUACUCGGUUAUGUAUAUUCACGUGCCUUAUUAUACUUCGUUCUAGAAGAAAUCUGGAGAAGCAAGAAGUUUUGUCAUAAUGCCUUUCAUUGUAAUCCAUUAAUUAAGUCUGAGUCUUUGUUUUCUACCAUUCCCUUCAGGUUAUUGUUCCUAGUUUCACUUCUGAGGCUGAGGAGCGGUAAAUUAUGACAGUAAAAACAUAAGCUGUUAUUUAUGAAACAGGUUAUUUUGGUUAGUUUUUGUAGUGUGGUUAACUGUCUUUGGUUGUGAGCCAAAGGUAAUGGUCUCAGAGCUGAUAUUCUACACAUCAAGCACUGAGGUAAGUAGUAGACUGCCAGACUUAGCAGGCAGAAACAAAUUGGGUUGGACUCUUUGCUGUAUACAAUCUUAUUCGUUAACACAGGAACAAAACAUAAAGGACCAAUGCAAUUCAUGUGGAAGGGGGAAGGCUUCUUGUGGGUUUUGUUCACCAGUUUUAACUCUUAAUUUUUGGUGGUACAAAACUAAAUCUUGGUCGUGCUGGUGAAUUGUUUCAUUUUUUUGUUUGACAGCUGGAUGGUGCUGUUGUACAACAGAGACUGUGUGAAAACAACAUCGCUAACCACUGCUGUCUUUCUAGGGUUUUUCUGAGCCUCUUCCACGGAUGUAAAACAAGAAAUUCAUUCAGGAGAAAGGAAGGUUGGGUGUUGCCUCUACACUAUUAAGAGAAGAGGAAGAUGAGGGUCUAGAAUCUAGAAUGCUGGAGAUAAGAAGUUUGCGUAGCCUCGGAAGCCUUCAAGUAUGCAGCAGCCUGCAGAAUGCUGCACGCAGCUGUGGCACUGCAGAAGCAAAUACUGAAACUUCAGAGGCUGAGAACCGCAACAGAUCACAGAAUUGUAGGGGUUGGAAGGGACCUCUAGAGAUCGAGUUCAACCCUCCUGCCAAAGCAGGUUCCCUACACCAUGUCGCACAGGUAUAGAUCCGGCAUUCACCUGCAGAGAAUGGUUUUUUGUGCAUGUAUUUCCUCAUGCUGUAUCUGCAGCUCAGCAUUCGUGCUGCUGGGAGAGAGAAACAGAACCUGCUGUUCAGUCAGGGAUUGAUGCCUCUGACAGGGCGGCUGCAGGUGUUGUUCUGUCAGCCUUUAGGACACUCAACACGUGGCACUGCAAGAACUGUUUCGUCAAACUUUAGGUUGCUGAUGGUAGAGAAAGACAGAAGAAAAACAACUGCAAGCCAUGUGGAAAACCUUACCAACCUCUGCCCCCCGCUAUAGGGCCUGUACAUGUCCAGUCAGCUGUCGGGGAAAAAGCAUGGAGAACCUAUUGCUGUGAUGUGACAAGUCUUAGCAUCCUUUGCAAACAAAAAGUCUUUGUGAGAGAUAAAGACCAACCUCAUUUUACCAGUGUAAGUUUUAACUAAUACAAUCCAAGUGCCUUGUAGACUCUUUCAGUGUUGGUAACUACUUCUUCCAGAUGCCAGACAAAAAGCAUAAGCCUGUUCUCAGCAGCAGUAACAGCAGCUGCCCUGCUGACAAGCAAGCAAACACUGUGAGAAGAUCAUCUCCAAAUCAUUGUUGUAUCUUGCCAAAGCUCACAGCAUGUGUUUCAUUCUCCACCUGCUGUGAUGCAGAUCUAUACUGCUUAGCCCAACCAGCGAUGGUUCCCUCAUUGCCUGAAGAAAACAUCAUCACGGUUACCUCAGUGGAUUGCUGACAAGAGGACAGAAUCUACUAAGUGCAAAGGGGGAAAACUAAGCUUUUAUCUUCAAUUGCAAAUACUUCACUGGAUGUUGUUUACUUUGACCUCUGAUAUAGUUUUGUGUAUUCUGGGGUACUGGCUCCAUGCUCAAGAGAAGCCCAUUUUCAGCUCUCCUCCAUCCUGCAUGGAUAGCAGCAGCAGUAUCUCAGCCUCUCUGCAUCCUUACCCAAUAGAUUUUUCUUAUCCUCAUUGUCAGGGUGUUCUGAGACAAAAUCCUCCAGCAAGCCCCUGGCUGCACUCUGCUGGUUAAACUCUCAGUCCUGGAGAGCAGAGAAAAACAGUGCCAAAAAGGAUUAUUCAAAGUUACUGGUCUGUGUAACUUCUUGCUGUAGCAAUGCUGUUGCAGCAAAGGUUCAUCACCUGGCAGGGUCAAUCCGAAUGAACAAGUGUGCAAUUCUCUUUGCUCUUGUUUUUGGAACAAGUGUUAUUGUUAUUAACAUUUUUGUAUAGGAAGGUCCAAGCACGUGGCUGAAUUCCAAGCCAGGUUUGCUCAUCUAACCAUGCUUGCUAUCUCUCAUAAGCUGUCAGAGUCAUCUUGUGAUUGUGUUGUUUGCAGAACAGAUCUGAGAUGUAUUCAAAGACAUUCUUUCACGUAUUUUUUCCAUGAACAUCCCCACAUCUUCAACACUAAACUAUAUUUGUCUGCUUUAGUAGAUGGUGGACUUGAUGAUUCUUGGAAUUCUUACCUGCAGAGGUGAUAUUCAGAACAUCACCACAUGCAAAAUGCAGAUAUCCAGAUACUGGCAGAAGAACACAAGGGCUCACGUAUGUCUCUAAGCGGUACAUAAUCCUGUAUACUUUUAAGUCACUCAGUGGGAAGCCACUGCUAAGUUGUGAUCUUCCUUGGAUCACAGCAGAUACAAAUCUUAAGAGCCAAGUGAGUAUUAUCAACACUGUACUGACUGUGACUUGCCUUUUUUAUUAGUAUUUCUACCUCAACUCAUUUUCAAAGCAUCAGUCAUGAGUGCCAGAAGCCUCCAGACUGAUGAAGUUAACUACUUACCAUCCUAUUAACUUCAUCCUAAAAUUAGGCACAACGUGCACGUAUGUAGAUUUACAAGUUUUUGUUUCUUUAAGAAAAUUUCUUUUCUGGAAUGAUCUUAUACUUUAUGGGCUGAUAGUCCAUUUAAAAUCAAUCCAUUCUGCUAAUCUCCUUUAAAAUAUCCAAGCUAGCAGCAGUCAAUUUAUAGCAAUUCUUUUCCCUACGCAGACAAAACACAAAGGUUGUUAAUAUUUUCCAGCCAAGUUUCCUUGUAUUCCAACUUGGGAGUGGUAAUAGGAGGAGAGCCAAGGAAUUUCCAGAAAUCUUGAAGUGCUAGUAAGUCAUUACUGACACCGUGCCACGAACAGUUGGUUGAAGGAACUUAGAUGUAGGAUAAAGUAAGUUAGAUGCAGGAUAAAGUAAAGAGGAUAACUCUGCCUCUGAUUAGCAACUGUUAUCAGUGCAUCCCACCUGAAGUAAAAGCUUCCUUACAGAGUGGGAAAAGAAGGGUAGCUACUUUCACAGUUACGAACAAACUUAAGCUUUGCCCUCAAAGUGGGCUCUGCAAGGAACCAUUUAAGCUACUGCCCUGCCCCUUCUGAGACUCUUUGCCACCUCAAGUCAUUGGUUUAGGUUACAUUUGUUUUACACUUUAGUGAUUUUGGUCUUAUUGGCAUGAAAACAUCUAAAAAUAUUCGUACAUGUUUACCAUCUAGGCACUGAUCCCGUGGCAGAGGGUAACUUACAAGACAGGUUACGUGGAAAGCACGAAUACGAAGCUGCAGAUCUUCAGUCAGCCCACUCAGAAGCUUUAAGGGUUCACACUUGGGAACGUAAGCACAGGGUUAUUCAGGAUUAUUUCCUGCAUUUAGAAGUGGCUGAAUGAGAUACUUCAAAAUUGUGAAGAAAGCUCAUAUUUGGUUGAUAAAAGCACGGCUUGUUCUGUUACAUCUCCUUCAAAAUCCUCAGCCAACAAAUGAUGUGAUUCCUGAACAUCUCUCCUUGUUUGUUCCCUUGAACUACAUGUAAUUUUAGUGCUCCUUUUUCACAGUCUGCGGGUUGGAAGGGACCCUUUAGAGAUCUAUCGAGUCC